GCAGCACCACCGGGGAGCCAGCAGCUGGCUGAGAGGUGAGGGUAUGCUCCUCACGACCCGUCGAACCUGAACCCGUUAGCACGGGCGGAGGGAGUUGGACGGGCCCGCCCG
rnacentral:ncRNA from 1 species